CUGUUAGCACAGAAACUGAAUUUUUCUGUUUAUACAGGCCAGAUACAUAGGGGGAGGGCCCACUGCAUUCAAGCUUCCCCACACAACUCCAUCAAUCUACCUAAACUCUGACUUGAAAGGACCACUAUCAACAGGGGUGAGAAAUGAUGAUUCAAAUUCAUUUCAUUCCACCACAGCCCCUCACUAAA
ensembl:misc_RNA